ACUGACGGAACAUGCUACCCUGAACAAGCCCGAUCCCGUCUGAUCUCGGAAGCUAAGCAGGAUCAGGCCAAGUACUUGGACGGGAGACCACCUAGGAAGACCAGGUGCUGUAGGCG
rnacentral:rRNA from 1 species